rnacentral:rRNA from 1 species
UACGUAGGGUGCAAGCGUUGUCCGGAAUUAUUGGGCGUAAAGAGCUCGUAGGCGGUCUGUCGCGUCGGUUGUGAAAGCCCGGGGCUUAACCCCGGGUCUGCAGUCGAUACGGGCAGGCUAGAGUGUGGUAGGGGAGAUCGGAAUUCCUGGUGUAGCGGUGAAAUGCGCAGAUAUCAGGAGGAACACCGGUGGCGAAGGCGGAUCUCUGGGCCAUUACUGACGCUGAGGAGCGAAAGCGUGGGGAGCGAACAGG